rnacentral:lncRNA from 1 species
CAAGGGCGACAGAAAGCCCUUCGACAGUUCUUCUUAGGGACUGGAGUUCAUUGGAUUCCUGAGAAGAAGCGAGCUGAGCCCUGUCGGCCAGCUGCCCUUGAAGACGGGCGACUUCGUCGGUCGCCACCCUGAGUCUCCCUUUAUAUUCAUCCACCUGCCUGCGCCAGCCGGCCUGAUGCACGUCAUAGCUCACCUCGGUAUCCUGAAGCUGCUGCUGA